rnacentral:rRNA from 1 species
AUUGGACGCUGGCGGCAGGCCUAACACAUGCAAGUCGAACGGUAGCACAGAGAGCUUGCUCUCGGGUGACGAGUGGCGGACGGGUGAGUAAUGUCUGGGAAACUGCCCGAUGGAGGGGGAUAACUACUGGAAACGGUAGCUAAUACCGCAUAACGUCGCAAGACCAAAGUGGGGGACCUUCGGGCCUCACACCAUCGGAUGUGCCCAGAUGGGAUUAGCUAGUAGGUGGGGUAAUGGCUCACCUAGGCGACGAUCCCUAGCUGGUCUGAGAGGAUGACCAGCCACACUGGAACUGAGACACGGUCCAGACUCCUACGGGAGGCAGCAGUGGGGAAUAUUGCACAAUGGGCGCAAGCCUGAUGCAACCAUGCCGCGUGUAUGAAGAAGGCCUUCGGGUUGUAAAGUACUUUCAGCGAGGAGGAAGGCGUUGUGGUUAAUAACCGCAGCGAUUGACGUUACUCGCAGAAGAAGCACCGGCUAACUCCGUGCCAGCCGCCGCAGUAA